rnacentral:rRNA from 1 species
UAAUUCCAUAAUUAAUACAUGCAACUCUUAUCCUGAAGGAGCACGGCAUUUACUUGUCGCUGUUCUCUGACGUAUGCUUUUAUUAGACCAAACCGCUGGGUGCGUGGUGUUUCACUUUAGGGUGUUCCCACGUUUGACUCGUGUGAUGGUGACUCUGAAUAACCUUUCUUGACAAGCGCAAGUACCCCUCUUAUGAGCUGGGACGGCGCUACCACUUUCGAGUGUCUGACUUAUCAGCUAUCAACCGUUCGUUAUGUGCGACCGAUGGCGUUGACGGGUAACGGGGAAUCAGAGUUCGAUUCCGGAGAGGCAGCCUGAGAGACGGCUACCACGUCCAAGGACGGCAGCAGGCACGCAAAUUACCCAAUCCCAGCAUCUGAGGGAGGUAGUGACGAAAUCUAACGAUGCGGGCGCCCUUUCUGGGGCCCCGCAAUCGGAAUGGCCAUUUUCUAAACAACCUGUUGAGAACCUACUGAAGGGCAAGUCUGGUGCCAGCAGCCGCGAUAAUUCCAGCUUCAGCAGCAUCUAUUAAAGUUGCUGCGGUUAAAAGGCUCGCAGUUGAAUGUCAGUACCGAGCGCAGGUCAG